rnacentral:rRNA from 1 species
GGAGGAAAAGAAACCAACAGGGAUUGCCUCAGUAGCGGCGAGUGAAGCGGCAAAAGCUCAAAUUUGAAAUCUGGCGUCUUUGGCGUCCGAGUUGUAAUUUGAAGAAGGUAUCUUUGGGCCCGGCUCUUGUCUAUGUUCCUUGGAACAGGACGUCACAGAGGGUGAGAAUCCCGUGCGAUGAGAUGACCCGGGUCUGUGUAAAGUUCCUUCGACGAGUCGAGUUGUUUGGGAAUGCAGCUCUAAGUGGGUGGUAAAUUCCAUCUAAAGCUAAAUAUUGGCGAGAGACCGAUAGCGAACAAGUACAGUGAUGGAAAGAUGAAAAGAACUUUGAAAAGAGAGUGAAAAAGUACGUGAAAUUGUUGAAAGGGAAGGGCUUGAGAUCAGACUUGGUAUUUUGCAUGCUGCUCUCUCGGGGGCGGCCGCUGCGGUUUACCGGGCCAGCAUCGGUUUGGAGCGGCAGGAUAAUGGCGGAGGAAUGUGGCACGGCUUCUGCUGUGUGUUAUAGCCUCUGACGAUGCUGCCAGCCUAGACCGAGGACUGCGGUUUUUAACCUAGGA